AUACGGAGGGGGCUAGCGUUGUUCGGAAUUACUGGGCGUAAAGCGCACGUAGGCGGAUUAAAAAGUUAGAGGUGAAAUCCCAGGGCUUAACCCUGGAGCUGCCUUUAAAACUAGUAGUCUAGAGUUCGAGAGAGGUGAGUGGAAUUCCAAGUGUAGAGGUGAAAUUCGUAGAUAUUUGGAGGAACACCAGUGGCGAAGGCGGCUCACUGGCUCGAUACUGACGCUGAGGUGCGAAAGCGUGGGGAGCAAACAGGAUUAGAAACCCCAGUAGUCC
rnacentral:rRNA from 1 species